GACGAACGCUGGCGGCGUGCUUAACACAUGCAAGUCGAACGAAGUGGCGAACGGGUGAGUAACGCGUAAUCAACAUGCCCUUCAGAGGGGGACAACAGUUGGAAACGACUGCUAAUAACGCAUACUGAGGGAGGGGAUUGCGUCUGAUUAGCUAGUUGGAGGGGUAACGGCCCACCAAGGGGAUGAUCAGUAGCCGGUCUGGGAGGAUGAACGGCAACAGUGGGACGGAGAGACGGGCCAGAGUCCUACGGGAGGCAGCAGUGGGGAAUCGUCCGAAAUGGACGAAAGUCUGACGGAGCAACGCCGCGUGAGUGAUGACGGCCUUCGGGUGGUAAAGCUCUGUUAAUCGGGACGCGGUACCGGAAUAGAAAGCCACGGCUAACUACGUGCCAGCCGCCGCGGUAAUUC
rnacentral:rRNA from 1 species